rnacentral:tRNA from 1 species
GGUGGGUUGGUUCAGUGGUUAGAGCGUAGGUCUCGUAACCGAAAGGUCGCGGGAUCGAAUCCCGCUAGAGGCUG